AUGUAUUACAUUCCUGGGAGCGGUUUUCGACUGAGGGUGGUCAUAUCACCAGAGCGCGCUCUGGUACUUCAGCAACUCACGGCCUCCGUCAGGAACAAAGCCUGUUUCCCUCUGAAGUUCUUUCAGAGGAUGCUAGGGCUGAUGGCUUCCGCCUCCCCAGUUUUACAGCUCGGCCUCCUACGAAUGCGGCCCCUGCAAUACUGGCUGAAACUCCGGGUCCCACCUCAUGCUUGGCGGCACGGCCGCUUUCGCAUCAGGGUCAACCAGGCCUGUCUAGCAGCCCUGGAGCCUUGGAUGAACCCUGUUUGGUUCAGUCAUGGAGUACCCCUACAGGCGGUUUCCAGAAGGACGGUGCUCUCAACAGAUGCGUCCAACCUGGGUUGGGGUGCUCUGUGCGAGGGCAGACCAGCCUUCGGCUCGUGGUCGCACAAGGAGAGCCAUCUCCAUAUCAACUGCCUCAAGAUGUUGGCAGUAGAGCGAGCCCUUCAAUCCUUUCAGGCGAUCCUGAAGGGGCGCCACGUCCUAGUCCAGUUGGCCAGCAUGACAGUGGUGUCCUACAUAAAUCACCAAGGCGGCCUUUUGUCCAGCCGCCUCUGCGCACUGGCAAAGCACCUCUUGGAAUGGGCAUUACCCAGGCUUCGAUCGCUCAAGGCGACGCAUAUACCUGGCAGGACAAAUCUGGGAGCAGACAUGCUAUCUUGGAGCAAUGUCCCCUUGGACGAGUGGAUGCUCCAUCCCCAGACGGUUCUCAAAAUCUGGCAACAGAUCAAUGCUCCUGAGCCACUUAGAGUGCCUAGGACUCAGGGUCAAUUUCGCCAAGAGCUCACUGCUCCCCAGCCAACGUAUUACGUUCCUGGGAGCGGUUUUCGACUCAGCCAAUAUGAGGGCGGUCAUAUCACCAGAGCGCGCUCUGGUACUUCAGCAGCUCACGGCCUCCGUCAGGAACAAAGCCUGUUUCCCUCUGAAGUUCUUUCAGAGGAUGCUAGGGCUGAUGGCUUCCGCCUCCCCAGUUUUACAGCUCGGCCUCCUACGAAUGCGGCCCCUGCAAUACUGGCUGAAACUCCAGGUCCCACCUCAUGCUUGGUGGCACAGCCACUUUCGCAUCAGGGUCAACCAGGCCUGUCUAGCAGCCCUGGAGCCUUGGAUGAACCCUGUUUGGUUCAGUCAUGGAGUACCCCUACAGGCGGUUUCGAGAAGGACGGUGCUCUCAACAGAUGCGUCCAACCUCGAGAUGCUGGCAGUAGAAUGAUGCCCUUCAAUCCUUUCAGGCGAUCCUGGAAGGGCGCCACGUCUUAG
ensembl:lncRNA